AAGGAAAAAGCUGGCAGCUCAGCCCACAAGCAGCCGCCUUCUGUACACACUACCAGCUUGAUCCAAUUAGGAAACAUUAGCGGUCCGGUGACAGAUCUGAAAACAAAGGUUCAGAGGAGACACAAGAGUCCUGACAGCAGUUGGGGAAAUCACAAAAUCUCCAGCCCAGCAACCAUGUCCAGCCGAGACUGUAUUCUCUGCCAGGCUCUGCUCCAGACACUGGCUCUCAACAGUCUUCAUGCGCAGUCUCUUUGAACUCUGUGUCCCUAUCAGAUGCAUCUGAAUGGUAUAGACACUGCUUUUCAAGAAAUGCCACCUGAAUGUUUGCCACCAACAAGGAUGGAGAAAUAAAAGGAACCUCGUCUCUGCACUGUGCACCACCUUUUCAUAUUAUAUUGUCCUGCCGUCGUCUCUGAGGGAGGAAAACAUUUGGAUCUGCAGUGGGUUAGGUAAACGCCCACUAAAUAUUGAUGCAUGCAUAAUUAAAAUGACUAAAAUAAUCCUGGCAUAAAAUUACCCUUGCAGUCAGAGGAGAGACAAAAUGAAGUAAUUUGAUCAGGAAAAUUAAUACAAGUCGACUCUCAAUUUUCAGUGCAGCUAAUUGAAAACCACUUAUUAUUCAAACCUCACUUUCCCUCAUGGUUUGUACUUUUUUCUCUUUGCCCGGUGAAAAAGGGACGUGAGAGGAGCGUCCCAGGGGAAAAGCCAUCAUAUUGAGAUGGGGGAGCAAGAGAAGCAUGUUUGUUUUUCUAAGGCAAUGGCUCCUAAACUUUUAUUACCUCUAUUGCUUUUGCCAUCCGUGACCCACUUCCAUGGGCAUGUCCAGUGUGAUAGGCCACCCCGUCCUCUCUCCCUCAAACCACAUUGAAAUUACGACACUGGCAUGAUUGUGAUUGUCAUCUUUUUAAAGUGACAGUUUUACUGAGAUAUAAUUCUCAAAGAUGCAAAUCACCAUUUAAAGUAUAGAGGUCAAUGGCUUUUAGUAUUCACAGAGUUAUGCAAACAUCGCCACAUUUCAUCACCCCCAAAAAUACCUACUGGCAUUUCCAUGGGUCACAUUCCAAUAAACCACCUGCGCUUGAGUCGUUGCCUUGAGUUCUGCUUCUGGGAAACUCAAACUAGGACACAGUGGUUCUCUCUCACAAUCUACUACCAGGAUUCCCGGCAAAGCCUCUUCGGAAGAACAUCACCCCCUCUUGAGAGGAAUAGUCAUACACAAGGAUGAAAUGGUGAUGGGGUCCAUUGUUCCUUUCCUGAAGGGAAUUCAAAAUCAGCAGGUCUGCAGAAACAAAACAAAAUCGAUAACAACAAAAGAAGCCAGUCUGGAGCCGAUGUCUCCUGGAGGACCCGUCAUUAUGAGGUUGAGCGUUUUUACAGCCAGGCUGUUGCACAACAAUAGGGAGUAGGCAGUAGAACUCCGGCCGCAUGAAACACACAACCACUGUGGUGGUCAUUCCCAGGAUUGUCUCACCUCUCCUGCCUUGUCCCACACUCGGAAGGAUGCUUGUUACCCAGCAAGGGCCCAAUACAUGCUGUCACUUAAUAAGGAUAUUCUUGGCAGAUUAAGCUGGUUCCAUCCACACUAAGGGAGGAGAGAGGGCAAGCAAUUUCUUUUUCUUCUUCUUUUUUAGGGCCACACCUGUGGCAUAUGCCGU